GUAAGAAGGAAAGAGGGAAACGGAGGAGGUGUUUGGAUGCCCUGUGCGCGUUCCCGAGGCCCUUCGACUUUCCAUCCCAAAGACGAUAAACGCGGCGAGCAUCGCAUUCACUGCAUCUUUUAUUAAUUUCAUAAUCCAGUCUGGUAGUUUUAAGAAGCGAGUUCUUGCAUCCGGGGGGGGAUAAGGAGCGCCAGCGAGCCCAAGGUCUCCUGGCAAGAGGGGGAGUACUGGAGGGCUCCACGAAGGGCGCCUUGGCCCUUGGUGUCCCCCGGGGCGUCCGCGGAGGUGCCGGAGAUCUGUUCGGGUAGGUGGGGCUCGUUAGCCGUGGUAGGCAGUUCACCUAGGAGAGCCAACUCCGAACAACAAACCCGGGCAGAUGGGGCUCGUUAGCCGUGGUAGGCAGUCCAUCUAGGAGAGCAAACUCCGAACAAUAAACCCGGGCAGAUGGAGGUCGUUAGCGUGAGCAGUCCAUCUAGGAGAGCAAACUCUGAUUACAAACCCGGGCAGAUGGAGGUCGUUAGCCAUGGUAGGCAAUUCAUCUAGGAGAGGGACAACUCCGAACAACAAACACGGGCAGAUGGAGGUCGUUAGCCAUGGUAGGCAGUUCAUCUAGGAGAGGGACAACUCCGAACAACAAACACGGGCAGAUGGAGGUCGUUAGCCAUGGUAGGCAGUUCAUCUAGGAGAGGGACAACUCCGAACAACAAACACGGGCAGAUGGAGGUCGUUAGCCAUGGUAGGCAGUUCAUCUAGGAGAGGGACAACUCCGAACAACAAACACGGGCAGAUGGAGGUCGUUAGCCGUGGUAGGCAGUUCAUCUAGGAGAGGACAACUCCGAACAACAAACACGGGCAGAUGGAGGUCGUUAGCCGUGGUAGGCAGUUCAUCUAGGAGAGGGACAACUCCGAACAACAAACACGGGCAGAUGGAGGUCGUUAGCCGUGGUAGGCAGUUCAUCUAGGAGAGGGACAACUCCGAACAACAAACACGGGCAGAUGGAGGUCGUCAGCCAUGGUAGGCAGUUCAUCUAGGAGAGGGACAACUCCGAACAACAAACACGGACAGAUGGAGGUCGUUAGCCAUGGUAGGCAGUUCAUCUAGGAGAGGGACAACUCCGAACAACAAACACGGGCAGAUGGAGGUCGUUAGCCAUGGUAGGCAGUUCAUCUAGGAGAGGGACAACUCCGAACAACAAACCCGGCAGGUGGAAGUCGUUAGCGCGAGCAGUUCACCUAGGAGAGCAAACUCCGAUUACAAACCCGGCAGGUGGAGGUCGUUAGCGCGAGCAGUUCACCUAGGAGAGCAAACUCCGAUUACAAACCCGGCAGGUGGAGGUCGUUAGCGCGAGCAGUCCAUCUAGGAGAGGGACAACUCCGAACAACAAACCCGGCAGGUGGAGGUCGUCAGCGCGAGCAGUUCACCUAGGAGAGCAAACUCCGAUUACAAACCCGGCAGGUGGAGGUCGUUAGCGUGAGCAGUUCACCUAGGAGAAGGACAACUCUGAUCACAAACCCGGGGAGGUGGAGAUCGUUAGCCGCGAGGCAGUUCACCUAGGAGAGCAAACUCCGAUCACAAACCCGGGCAGGAGGGGGUCGUCAG